rnacentral:lncRNA from 12 species
CACCAAUUAGGCCCUAUGGUUUAUUCAUGGCCAGCACCCAUUCUGAUUGGUUAGUUCCAUUAUUUACUAUUACUAAAUAUUGUGCCUCUCACCUCUGCCUAAAGAAAUCACCAUAAUAAAUCAAUACAUUUAAUUAUGAUCUCGGGUCAUCCAGGGAAGUGUAGAGUAACAUUCCAAAUGUUUUAAUAAGUAGGUAAUACUCUUAAAGACCAUGAUCUUCUCAGAAUAAAAUUUUUUGUGCAGAUCAAGUGGUUAGUCAUGAUUUAUGUGGACAAUUCACUUGCUAGAAUACAGAAAUCCCUGAUGAGGCUAGAUCAACGAAAUGUUCUGGUAGUAGCUAUGCCUCAUUUACUUUUGGAGAAAUUUGCUCACAGGAAGGGCAUGGGUUCAGAUAAAAUAAAGACUUGUAAACAGGAGUGUUUUGUUAAGAUGAACUAAGCAUUGACAAGCCAAGGCAAAGGCUCAGGAAAACAGGACUGGGCUAUGGCCUUCGGGCAGUGGCUUUGCCUAAAGAGCAAUGACAGCCAGGUCUUAUGUAACAGAGGGCCUCUUUAACUCCAGCAGGAAACCCUAUGUCCAGACGACACCCUGCUUCCAGACACUGCCAGAGUUGGCAAUUGGCUCCCAUGGGUUCCUGGGAACCCCGAGAUUAGUAAGAGAAUUGAGAGAGCUCCUUCUGAGAGGAUGUGAUUUUGGCACCUGCUUUCUGCUGGAAAUGGAAACAGCUGAGAGAGAAAGGGGCAUGUGAGGAGAUGCUAUUCAUCAGACAUCUGGUUAGUAUAUGGAGGCUCUUUAUUUGUCUAAAGUCUAAUUACAAUAUUACAUACAUGACCUUUUCUUUGCUCAGUAUGUAUGUAUGAAGGUAUGUAUAUAUGGAUGGAUGGAUGGAUGGAUGGAUGGAUGGAUGGAUGAAUGGAUGGUUUUAAUUCAUUUUUUGUUUAUUUAUAUGCAGACUUUCUUCUAGAAGAAAUUAAGGAAGUUUAAAAAUUAGUAUUAAGGGUAAAGUUAAUAGAUGAGAACACUGGAACAAAAGGAAAGUGUUAAGGACCUAAUGUUUGUGUCCCCCUCAAAUUCAUAUGCUGAAAGCUAAUCCCCAAUGUGGUAGUAUUUGGAGGUGGCAACUUUGAGAGGUCAUUAUGUCUUGAGGAUGGGGCCUUCAUGAGUGGGAUUAGUGUCCUUAUAAGAAGAGCACCAAGCUAGCCUGAAGCUAGCUUGGCCUCUUUCUACCCUAUGAGAAUACAAGGAGAAAUUGGCAAUCUGUAUCCUGAAAAGGUUUUCUUACAAACCCAACUAUUCUAGUCUCAAGAACUCCAGUCUCCAGAACUGUGAGCAAGACAUUUCUGUUGUUAAUAAGCCACCCAGACUCUGGUUAAUGUGUUCUAGCAGCCUGAGCUAAGACAAUGAGAGAAAACAAAUAAUAAAUCUGGGGAUAGUACUAAAACCA